rnacentral:rRNA from 1 species
AGAGUUUGAUCAUGGCUCAGGACGAACGCUGGCGGCGUGCUUAACACAUGCAAGUCAAGGAGAACAUUCCCUUCGGGGAACUAUUAAACUGGCGAACGGGUGAGUAACACGUAGGCAACCUGCCUUGGAGAUUGGGAUAACCCCGGGAAACCGGAGCUAAUACCGGAUAAUGCAGCGGAUCCUUCGGGAUAUGUUGUUAAAGCGGGCUUCGGCUCGCACUUCAAGAUGGGCCUGCGUCCGAUUAGUUAGUUGGUAGGGUAACGGCCUACCAAGGCGAUGAUCGGUAGCUGGUCUGAGAGGAUGAUCAGCCACACUGGGAUUGAGAUACGGCCCAGACUCCUACGGGAGGCAGCAGUGGGGAAUUUUGCGCAAUGGACGAAAGUCUGACGCAGCAACGCCGCGUGAUCGAUGAAGCUUCUAGGAGUGUAAAGAUCUGUCGUGAGGGAAGAAAAACCCGGAUGUAAAUAAUGUUCGGACGUGACGGUACCUCACAAGAAAGCACCGGCUAACUUAGUGCCAGCAGCCGCGGUAAUACUAGGGGUGCUAGCGUUGUCCGGAAUACUGGGCGUAANGGUCCGUAGGCGUCUUGCCAGUUGAUCGUUAA